rnacentral:lncRNA from 1 species
CCUCUAUGCAUAUGAAAAUAACAAUAUAUUCAACGAAUUGAAAAUAGAAAAAAUUUGGGCUUCACUAUUUUUUAUUUCAAGCAGUGAAAAAUUGAAGAAAAGCACAGUGAAAAACAUUUCCGAGUAAUGUAAAUUUUUGAGAAAUGUGAAUUUUUUUAGUCAUGUGAAUAUAAGUUUUGUUGGGGUGGAAAGAGGGGUGGGGGUGGGGUCAUAAGUCACAUUUAUCAUUUUCUGAAAAAUGACUUCCCAUGACCCAUGAGGGAAGUCAUUUUCCAUCAAAGGAUGGAAAAUAAGUUGUCUUAGAAAAUAUUUUCUUAAACUUUUGUUGCAACCAAACAAGGAAAAACCGGAAAACAUUUUCCGAAAAAUAUUUUCUAUCAUACCAAACACACCCUAAAGUAAAUGUGCCAAUACAACUACAACUGCUUGAACACAAGAACACCCCAAAUAUGGCUCGGUUCUAUGCAUUUUGUCUUGAGACAAUAGUAAGUAAUCAAAUCAUUUCAAAUGAUGUUAAUGAGUACAAACAAAGAAUGAACAAGCAUAGACGGCAAACAUAGACUCUCACAAUCCGAUAGAGUAGCUCAUUACUUCUGCAACCAUUUGAUGCAAGAAACGAGUCAAAAAAGUAAAGGAAUACCAGGACAGAAACGAAUUUAUAUUUUGAUUAUUUAGAUGAUUCUAUGAACACGUCAUGAAACAAACACUAAAAUCUGAACUAUUUUCUUCUAGAAAAAAACAAAA